rnacentral:lncRNA from 1 species
CAGGACUUCAACUAUCAAGAGCUAUAUGAAUCACCCUCCACAGAUACUCUUAUUUACUUAAUUUAAUUGAAAAAACAUUCUCACUGAAUUUAGCCUGAAUCUGAAGUUUGAAAACAUCAUUUUGGUACUUAGGGUAUUAGAGGGCUUUGAUGAAGUCUUUGUAGGAAUAUAGCACCUCAUAGCAAGUAAAUUUUAUCUACUUGAAGAUGUUUUACAAUUUCUUAUGGUUUUUUCUAGACUACUUAUAGAGAAUGGCAUUUCAUAUAUUCAUUUACCUAUAUAACUAAAAUAAUGUCAAUAUUCAUGUCCUAAUAACCUUUUCUUAUUUUCCAAUUCUUUUUUCUCAUCUCCUUCUUUGGUCCUGGGGAAAAAAAAAUGACUUAGAGCAGGUCCUUUAAUUUUCCCUUUACUUACUCUUAAAACCAAAAUACACUUUUGACAUUUCCAUUUUCUAGCAUGCCUUUCUGGAUUUUAUGGCUUGAAUUGUGCUCACAUCCGUGACAGCAAAAUGGAGCCAGUUGUGAUGUAGCAGGUGGACAGUGCAUUUGCCCAGCAGGUUUCCAUGGCAGCCAGUGUGAAAAAGGAAGAAUGACCUAGAAUGUAAAGUGCUAACUCUUCGGGGACUGUCUUAAGAAGGGGAAAAAGUAUAUUGAAUUGACUCAUCUCUUGCUAUUUGACUUCAUGGAUGCUUACUAUAUGAAAAGGAUGCAGGUCAGGCCAGUUUGGACCUGACGGUGCUCCCAAGUGCCACUGUAUCCACAGAGUUCACCGUACCCCUUGUGAUGGGAGCUGCACUUGCCCCUGGAAGAGAAUGGGCCCAACCUGUGAGGAAAAUGAUUUGGACGAUCCUGAACAACCAAAUACAGCUUUUCAGUGGGCCAUCCUUCAUCUGAACAGAGGACAAAGUGAAGUGAAGAUUCAAAGCUACCAAGAAGAUUAAACAAAAAUGGAGUGCAAUACCUGCACCAUAUAGAUUCUCAUUAAAUGUAAGUGGAACCUGGACUGUUUAGUCUAAAUCUCUUAAUAGCAAUACCAUUGACAAUA